UACGUAGGGCGCAAGCGUUGUCCGGAAUUAUUGGGCGUAAAGAGCUCGUAGGCGGUUUGUCGCGUCUGCUGUGAAAACCUAAGGCUCAACCUUGGGCUUGCAGUGGGUACGGGCAGACUAGAGUGCGGUAGGGGUGACUGGAAUUCCUGGUGUAGCGGUGGAAUGCGCAGAUAUCAGGAAGAACACCCGUGGCGAAGGCGGCUCUCUGGGACGGUACUGGACGCUGAGACGCGAAAGCGUGGGGAGCGAACAGG
rnacentral:rRNA from 1 species